ACAUAAUGGAUAGAAGAUACAUGUAAACACAGAGAAAGGAGCAAAGAAACUCAACUUUCACAAACAUUUUGCAAAAAGUGAAAUAAAAAGCAAGACUGGAGAAACAAAUCAAUUGAGCAAUCUCUUGUAGAUGAUUAAUUUCUUCUGAGUUUAUUACAAAGUUGCUGUCAUACCUCCUCCCUCUUUCUCUUUUUCUCUCUCUCUAUCUCUCUCUCUCUCUGUCUCUCCUUCCCUUCAUCGCUGUAACCAAUCUGUAACCAUACAUGAAUACAGCUCUUGUGGUAAAGCCACUAACUCCAGAUCUUCCCUGUCAAAAUGCCAGACUCCAAUGAAGCAGUUCCAGCAUCAUGCCAGGUCAUCAAACAGGACUUUGACAAAUGUGUCAGAGAGAAGGGAGAGGACGCCUGCAAAGAUCUGAUGGACGCCUUCCAGUCCUGUUUAAAAACCCUGUCUGAGGGAUCAUGAUACGUAAGGAAGUCCAUCUUCAUCAAAGCUUCACUUUACCCAAUCCUCCACUUUUCCCAGCAUUCCCUUCACUGCUGAUUGCACCGGACCGAACCAUCAGAAAAACUGAAGAGGGGGGUGCUGAUACUGAAUGUCGUGAAAUACUGUAUUCUUCUGUCAAUGUGAAACAUUUGUUGUCAUAACUGUGAUAACUCCAUUAUGGAUUCUACUCUGAUAAACUCUGCACUGUAACCUUUUUUGCACAAAAAUGCAAUAAAUAAAAAGCUACUCUAUUGA